rnacentral:misc_RNA from 1 species
GAUGAAGAACGUAGCGAAAUGCGAUAAGUAGUGUGAAUUGCAGAAUUCCGUGAAUCAUCGAAUCUUUGAACGCACAUUGCGCCUUCUGGUAUUCCGGAAGGCAUGCCUGUUCGAGAGUCAUUAACAACCGUUUCGAUCCCUUUCUUUCAGAAAUUACAAAGAGGAAAAGGGUUUGGUUAUGGUGGAGGAGGGAAAGGGAGCGUUUAGCCUGUAAAAAAAGAGGCUGUGUUCCGCCUCCCCCCCAAAAUUGUACAGGCGGUCGUGUGCGCCCACGCAUCGAGGUGUUGUAAAAGCUGCCACGGCACUUUUCACCUGUGCAGUGCGAGAUUGGCCAGCCGGUUUAAAAACCCCUCCAAACAAUCAAAGGUGGACCUCGGAUCAGGUAGGGAUACCCGCUGAACUUAAGCAUAUCAAUAAGCGGAGGA